rnacentral:tRNA from 1 species
AGUUUUAUAGUUGAAAACUACAACAUUGGCUCUUCAAGCCAAAAGUUCCACUUAAGGAUAAAACUA